AGGGCCAUAGGUUCGAAUCCUG
rnacentral:siRNA from 1 species